CACCCCAGCAAUAGGCAAAGAGACACCUUGGUGGUGGUGGUGUUCUUAUAUUAGUCAGGGGCAGAGCAGAUGGCUUUCAUUUGGUCAUCCUAGCUUGAUGCUUGGCUUGGUGGCCAAUGUAGUGUUAUACCUAGGAAUCAUAA